GCGUCGGUGGUGCAACGGUUAAGCACAUGCUCGUGGAGAGAGUAAGAUCUGGGUUCGAAUCCCGGCUGACGCA